AAUCAAUGGCCUCCUGAACGUGCGUUGCACUCUCGGGAUUUCCUGGGAGCAUGUCUGCUUCAGUGCUUAC
rnacentral:rRNA from 1 species